UAAUUAAUACAUUAUGUAUAGGGUAUAAAAUAAGUAUUUCUCCAUCUUGUUGUUUUAGUAAUUUUGUAUUUGAAUAUGGAUAAUGUUGGAAAGAACUCUUUUUUUGACAGAGUAAAGACAAGCUUUCAAAAACGUCCUUCCUUUUUUAUUGCAAGCACUGCUUUAACUGGGAUUGUUGGUGCUGGUCUGUAUGGUUUGCGGAACAGAAAACUUCGAUUGUCGCUCUACCUCAUCAAUAUGCGAUUGGCUGCACAAGGAACUUUUGUUGCCAUCAUGACUGUUGGUGCAACAGUUGCGUUAGUGAACCGUGUCAUGCAACCAUCUGACAGUUCAACUGAUGUUCAGACAAAAAGAUAACUUGUUGUUGUCCCUCUAUUUAAAACCAAUCAAAUAUUCUAAUUCAUGUCUUGUUUUUUGAUAAUUUUUAUGCGAAAGAUUAAUCUUACGUUAAACAUUUAUUGUGCAAUUUGCUGCCAUUAUUAUGUUUAGCAUAAAAUUAUGUCAAUUGUAACUUGUAAGAUACAAUACUUGUACCUUUUUCAGUGUUGGUAUGACAUGAUUUAAAUAUGAAAUAGAACUAGGAUAAAUACUAACAUCAUAAUACUUUUCUUACUGUCUUUUUUGUGCUCACAACUAACAAGUCAUGCCCCAGCCAGAUGGCUGGUGAGUCUGUAUUUGUUAAAACACUGUGCCAUAGAAAAACGAUUGUGGGAGAAAUAAAACAAAUACAUGGUUUUAA